rnacentral:rRNA from 1 species
UAGGGAAUCUUGCGCAAUGGGGGAAACCCUGACGCAGCGACGCCGCGUGCGGGAUGAAGGCCUUCGGGUCGUAAACCGCUUUCAGCAGGGACGAAAUUGACGGUACCUGCAGAAGAAGGCCCGGCCAACUACGUGCCAGCAGCCGCGGUGAUACGUAGGGGUCUAGCGUUGUCCGGAAUUAUUGGGCGUAAAGAGCUCGUAGGCGGUUCGGCAAGUCGGAUGUGAAAUCUCCACGCUUAACGUGGAGGGGCCAUUCGAAACUGCCGUGACUCGAGUCCGGUAGGGGAGUUCGGAAUUCCCGGUGUAGCGGUGAAAUGCGCAGAUAUCGGGAGGAACACCAGUGGCGAAGGCGGAACUCUGGGCCGGAACUGACGCUGAGGAGCGAAAGCGUGGGGAGCGAACAGGAUUAGAUACCCCCGUAGUCC